UAUCGGCUUAAUAUCUGAUAUGUGCUCUAUCUGAAAUACUAUAUUAAGUGGAUUUUUAGAGUAGGGGGUUGAUAUAGGAGCUUGUGCUAUCCACUUGGUGUACUGACCUGGUAUUGCAAUGCUUCCAGGAAUGGUGU
rnacentral:snRNA from 1 species